rnacentral:misc_RNA from 1 species
AGGACUACUAGGGUUUCUAAUCCUGUUUGCUCCCCACGCUUUCGUGCAUGAGCGUCAGUGUUGGCCCAGAAGGCUGCCUUCGCCAUCGGUGUUCCUCCACAUCUCUACGCAUUUCACCGCUACACGUGGAAUUCCACCUCCCUCUGCCACACUCCAGCCCCGUAGUUUCAAGCGCCAUUCCCAAGUUGAGCCCGGGGAUUUCACGCCUGACAUGCGGGGCCGCCUGCGCACCCUUUACGCCCAGUAAUUCCGAUUAACGCUUGCACCCUACGUAUUACCGCGGCUGCUGGCACU